rnacentral:rRNA from 1 species
UACAGAGGUCUCAAGCGUUGUUCGGAUUCAUUGGGCGUAAAGGGUGCGUAGGCGGCGCGGUAAGUCGGGUGUGAAAUCUCGGAGCUUAACUCCGAAACUGCAUUCGAUACUGCCGUGCUUGAGGACUGGAGAGGAGACUGGAAUUUACGGUGUAGCGGUGAAAUGCGUAGAUAUCGUAAGGAAGACCAGUGGCGAAGGCGAGUCUCUGGACAGUUACUGACACUGAGGCACGAAGGCCAGGGGAGCAAACGGG